rnacentral:rRNA from 1 species
UCCACGCCCUAAACGAUGAAUGCUAGUCGUCGGGACUCUUGUAGUUUCGGUGAUGCACUUAACAGAUUAAGCAUUCCGCCUGGGGAGUACGGUCGCAAGAUUAAAACUCAAAGGAAUAGACGGGGACCCGCACAAGUGGUGGAGCAUGUGGUUUAAUUCGAAGAUACGCGUAGAACCUUACCUAGCCUUGACAUUGAUUGAAUUUUCCAGAGAUGGAGAAGUGCCUUUCGGGG